rnacentral:rRNA from 1 species
UAAGGAAUAUUGGUCAAUGGACGCAAGUCUGAACCAGCCAUGCCGCGUGAAGGAUGAAGGUCCUCUGGAUUGUAAACUUCUUUUAUCUGGGACGAAAACGGGAUUUUUAUCUCAAUUGACGGUACCAGAGGAAUAAGCACCGGCUAACUCCGUGCCAGCAGCCGCGGUAAUACGGAGGGUGCAAGCGUUAUCCGGAUUCACUGGGUUUAAAGGGUACGUAGGUGGGCAGAUAAGUCAGUGGUGAAAUCUUCCGGCUUAACCGGGAAACUGCCGUUGAUACUAUUUGUCUUGAAUAUUGCGGAGGUCAGCGGAAUAUGUCAUGUAGCGGUGAAAUGCUUAGAUAUGACAUAGAACACCAAUUGCGAAGGCAGCUUACUACACAAUCAUUGACACUGAGGCACGAAAGCGUGGGUAGCGAACA